rnacentral:rRNA from 1 species
UUCUGCUCAAUGGUAUUCUUAAUAGCCGCAGUACCCUGACUGUGCAAAGGUAGCAUAAUCAAUUGGCUUUUAAUUAGAGUCUGGAAUGAAUGAAUACAUGGGUAGCAACUGUCUCAAUAUGAAAUAUAUUGAAAUUAAUAAGUAAGUGCAAAUACUUACAUUAGUCUAAAAGACGAGAAGACCCUAGAAACUUGUAUAUUAAUUUUGUUGGGGCGACAGAACUACAUUAUAACUAGUUUUAACAUACAUGACGUUUAGUAGAUAGAUAAAGUUACUCUAGGGAUAACAGCAUAAUUUGAAUAGUUUGUGACCUCGAUGUUGGACUAGGAAUAUAGUUCUUUAGAAGAGAAUUUGAAUGCUCUGUUCGAGCAACAAAACCUACGUGAUCUGAGUUUCAGACCGGA